rnacentral:rRNA from 1 species
GACGAACGCUGGCGGCGUGCUUAACACAUGCAAGUCGAACGGAAAGGCCCUGCUUUUGUGGGGUGCUCGAGUGGCGAACGGGUGAGUAACACGUGAGUAACCUGCCCUUGACUUUGGGAUAACUUCAGGAAACUGGGGCUAAUACCGGAUAGGAGCUCCUGCUGCAUGGUGGGGGUUGGAAAGUUUCGGCGGUUGGGGAUGGACUCGCGGCUUAUCAGCCUGUUGGUGGGGUAGUGGCUUACCAAGGCUUUGACGGGUAGCCGGCCUGAGUGGGUGACCGGCGACAUUGGGACUAGAAUACGGACCAGACUCCUACAGGAGGCAGAAGUGGGAAAUAUUGCACAAUGGGCGGAAGCCUGAUGCAGCAACGCCGCGUGCGGGAUGACGGCCUUCGGGGUGUAAACCGCUUUCGCCUGUGACGAAGCGUGAGUGACGGUAAUGGGUAGAGGAGCACCGGCUAGCUACGUG